AAUGGGAAAGAAUGAAAGGGUCACGAUGGAAGGUGUGGAGCACUGAGGAGGCUAUCCUGGUAGUGCUUGUGAGGGCUGAUGAACUGGGUGUUGGAGGAGGAGGAAGAAUAAAGGAUGAAUUCAGAGUUGUUAAGGAGGUCAAAGUGGCGAUCAUUCUCAUUCAUUAGAUGCAGAAUUGAGAGUGAGAAGGUAUCGAGGUCAACUGGAUUUCUGGCUUGUAUAAUUGGAUGCUGGCUGGAACCAUUGAUGGGGCAAACUGAAAGAGUCUCUUGCAGAGAAGGAUGGUGAGUUUGGUUUUGAACUUCUUUCCCAUGAGCAACCUUUGUGGCAUCAAGAGGGAAAUGCCAAGCAGAUGGCAGGAGGGAGUCCCAGGGACAGGAGGGAACAUGGAUUGUCAAGUUCCAGGAGAAAAGAAAAUGUAGAGCAAGGUAAGGGAGUGCCCAGAUUGUGGUGUUAAAUGGAAGGCCAUAGCAUGCUUCAUGGUUCGCCAUCACUAGAAUCUAGUCUGUUGAGAAGAAUAGAAGCAAGAAGAUAUGUUAAUGAUGGCAGUAGUUCAAGCAAGAGAUGAUAGUGAGCUCAUUUUAGAUACCUCCAGAAGGCAGACUCCACAGGUUUUCCUGACAGAGUGGCUAUUGGGGGAGCAAAAGAUAGGCAGCAAAGGUGACUUCAAGGUUUUCGAGCUGAGUAACUGGAAAGAUGGAUAAACGUACAAUCAAUUGAAGUAGAAAAGGAUGCAGGGAGAGCAGGUUUGGGGCAGGGGUUGGUUUCAAAGUUCAGAGAACCGAGUGUGAGAGGCCUCAAGAGCUAAUGUGAAGAGAUGUCAAGUGGGCAGCUGGCAGGAUUCUGGCUGGAGAUUUGAAGUUGGGAGUCUUAGUGCAUAGAAGACAUGUAAAUCAUGACUCUGAGCGAGGUCACCUCGUGAGUGGAGAUGGAGAAGGGAACACAGAAGGGACCUGGGUUUUCUCACCCCCACUCCUUACCACUUCCCCCACUGCCCCCAACCCAAGCCCAUCACCAACUGCACCUCAGCAGCCCCACCAGCUCCAGGUGCCAUCCUGUGCACCUUCAGCCGUUCACACAGUGGCCUGAAAGGUCCGGUUAAAAUUCAGUCCUGUCCCUCCUCUGCUCAUCCCCGCUGUGGAAAACAGCUGGUGUCCAUCAACGGACAAACGGAUAUGCAAAACACGGUGCAUUCACAGAACGGAAUAUUAUUCAGCAAUAAAAAUGACUGAAGUGUGGAUAUGUGCUUCAACAUAGAUGGCGCUCAAAAUACAUUAAGUAAAAGAAAGCCAAUCUCAAAAAUUCCCGUAUUGUAUGUUACAUUUAUAUGAUAUGGUCAGAACAGACAAAUCCAUAGAGAAAGAACCUCGUUGAUGGUUGCCAAGGGUUCGAGGGAGGGAAGAAUGAGGAGUGAUAGCUAACAGUUAAGGGCAUGCAAACAUUGCAAGGUGGUGACUCUGAAUUUACUAAAAACCACUGAGUGGUCCAACUUAAAUGGGUGAAUUGUAUGGACCAUAAAAUCUCUGUCCAUGUGCCUAUGUAUAAACCCUGCUGUGGGUCCCCAUCUCAUGCAAGCUUGGUUGCUCAAGGCCCCCAUCCAGCUCACGCUAUCUGUCUGACCUCUAAUCUGUAUGCUGCUCAGCCUCCUCCUCCGCCCCCUGGCCUUGACCUCUCACUGUUCCUGAUAGUCACACCUCAGACACAUCCGUCUGCACCUGCUGCUUCUUCCUCCAUGAAUCUACAUGUUUCACUACCUCACCUCCCAGUUCUUCAUUCAAAUGCCACCUUGUCACCUCGCCAACAAGGCUUCCCUGGCAGACCACACCUGCCUAAGUGGCACUGCACCCUUCACCAUGUCCUUUCUGCCUUUUUCUCCAUCCCCCUCCUCACCAUGCAGCCCGCUAUCUACUUACCCAUUUUGUUUACUGCCUGUGUCGCAUCUGAAAGGUAAGCUCCCAUGCGGGUGGGAAUUUGCAUUGGUUUUGUUCACUGCUGAGUCCACAGGACUUAGACAGAGCUUGGCGGCCAGAAGGCAGUCAAACCACACAUAUGUCUGCAGUGAAUACGUGGUCAGCUCUGUGCUGCCUUCGGAGCACCUCCAGAGUUAUUUUCCUAAAGUAAUUUUUCCUGCAAGUUUUCUACACUGAACAUGUAUUAGACUCAUAGUCAGGGUUAUAUAAAUGUUAUAUAAGGAACAAUGAUCCUGCCACUGCUCUCCGCAGCCCGCAAGAUGAAAUCCUAAACUCCUUUGCAGAUUCUGGCUUUUUUAAAAGCCAAACUCCACGUCCCUCUCUCCCCUUGGCCAGAAAGAAAGUAGAUGUUUUCUGAAACAGAAAGAGGGUUUGCUUUGCUUCAAAGACGUUGAACAGGGUGCCUUGUUUGUGUUGCUGAGAGCCCUGCACAUCCUUCUAUGUGAGCGGACUUGUCCAACGCCAUGCAGCAGGCCACACUCCUGCUCCUGACACACUGGCCCAGGCACCCUUUUUUGGUGGCUGGUCUCCAAGCACCAGAGUCCCACCUGAGCCCUUGGCAGCCCAGAAACCUCGUGGCUCUCAAGAUGACGCUGCUGGGACCCUCAAGCCUUCUCCGCCCACCAAGACGAUGGGCUCCAGAACCCUGCGAACAGCGCCCUGCCUGUGCGCCUUCCUCCUUCUGCUCUAAAUUGAUGUCUCCCCUGUGUGGCUGCAGAACCAUAUGUAUGAUUAAAGCUUGCAUGAUAGUCGUUG